UGCGGGAAGGGAUGGGGAGCCCGAGCACGGCGAAUCGGGAGCCCCGACUCCCAACCCCGCCCCACAGCAUAAACACGGGGAUCCCCAGCCCAGUGGGAAUGGGGGCCGUGGGAAUGGGGGAUCCCGAGUGGGAGAGGAGCGCCUCGGGGCCGGGAGCGGCGUCCCCCGCCCGCAGGAACCCGCGGCUGAAAAAGCGAAGGAGCGCGAUGAGGAGCCGUGGCACCAUCUCGGCACCAUCCCGGCACCAUCCCGGUCCCGCGCACCCCCGCACCGCCCGCGGGCUGCGGGCACGCCCCCGCAGCGACACGCCCCGUCACGAUACGUGCGAUCGCGACACGCCCCGCACCUGCUCUGCGGGGCAGUGGCUCCGCGCGGCUCUAAGAAACCAGGAUGGGUGGGGGGUGGGGGGUGGCCAAGGGAUCGGACAUCACUCUCCAACGUUGGGGGGGGUCCUCGGUGUGGGGCGGGGGCCGAAAGGGUGGUGCCGAUGUGGGAAUUGGGUGGGGAUGUCACUCCUCGGUAUUGGGAGGGGGUCAGGAGUGGGAGUCCCAGUGUGGGGUGGUGAAGGGGGAAGGAAACCGGAGUGGGGCGGGGGCGCCCAUGUGGGGAGAGGAUCAGGGCAUCGCUGCCCAGUUUGGGUAGCUCCGCUCCGCAGCGCGGGGCUGGCAGUGCUUUCCUUGUGCGGCACCAGGUGCCGGGUGUGCCAUCACGGGUCUGGCAUCUGGGAGGGCAACGAUCUCCCUCCGGGUUAAACCCUCCCCUCUUGGGGAUCGGGCCAGGAGUUUCCCCCUUGCCCCUUCUCUCUUCUGCGGCAUGUUUCACCUCUCAACAAAGCGACCCCUGCCCCCUUAAAGGUUGCGCCUCACGUUUGGGUUGGGGAGGCCUUCCCCUCAUCCUCCCUGAUGGAGGGGCCGAAAUCUCAUCCCAUCCCUUGCCCUGGGGUAACUCUGAUGCAGGGCUCGGUAGAGAAAGUCUUCCCUGCCCCCCAUCCUAUAGGAUACUGAAGGGGUUCCUACCCAGCAUCCUUCUCUUGGAUAGGGAGGGACCCUCAUCUUGGGCCCCCUUAUAGGGUCUGUUCGCCCCCACCCUCCUAUAUUAACCCCCCCAUUGCCUUCAGUGAGGAGUGACACCUCCUCCCGUCCCUCGCCCCGAGAUAAGUACAAGGAUUUCGGGAUGCUGCCCCUACCCCGAUGGCCCCAGGGAAUCUGCACGGAGGGUCGGCAUGCUCAGGCCGUCACACGAUGGCCACCUGCCACACGGUGAGAGCGAUAUCGGCAGCGCGACAAUCUCCAUCCCUCCCCCACCUCCUCCUCCUCUGGGCAGAAGAGAAAGUUCUGGUCUGAGGGCGGAUGGCCUUCUCUGCCUCCGUAUCCCUGUCCCCAGGCCCUCCCGUGUCCCUGCAUCCCUGUAUCCUUGUCCCUCCAUGUUCCCGUGUCCCUGCAGUCCUGUGUCCCACUCCCUACCCAGGCACUACUGUGCUCCUGCACCUCUGUGUCCCUGUCCUCAGGGUGCUCUUCAGGGACAGGGUGCUCUGAGGCUUGGCUGGGCGUUUGUAAAGGGCUCCUCGCAUCGUCUCUCAACCCUCGUUAGGACAGGUCGUGAUAAGGAAAUGCCACCCCGAGGUGCCAAGCAGGGUAGGGUUUAGGGACAUUCUGCAUGCUACACGCUCCAUCCGGCUCCCGGCACGCCGACCCCCGGGAUGCCGGGCCCGGGAGCCCACAGGAGGUUCGGGGCGGCCGCCGGAGCCGCGGGGCCAUCUAGUGGCCAGGGCCGCUCCCGGACACCCUGCGCGGCCACCCCGGCCUCCGGGUGCUCCUGCCCCUGCGGGUGACACACAGCCACGGGCGUCUCUCCCCGGGGUGGCACAGGAUCAUGAAUACCUCAGGCAGCGUCUCACAGUGCCCCUUUUUCCGACCAGGACACUACCAGAGCCGCCAGACCCCCAGGAUCAGGGUGUGGAACUCCUGCUCUGGGUUCACCCUGCUGCAGGUCCCAAGUGUCACCCCAGCCUGGACAGGUCCCACUGGCACGGAUGCAGGUCCGGGGAUCCAUGAAUAAAGCAGGAGUGGCAUUCCUUGGAUGAGAACAUCACAGCAGUCAGAUGGACACACACAGCCUCAGAACCCAGCCCUGGAGCUGCUGGGGAAUAACUGUAGGUGCCAAGGAGAGGCAGCAGUGUGGGCUUCCCACAUUUCCAUCCGUCCUGUAGUUUUCCCUUGUUCCUGGCCUGGAGUGGAUCAAUCGAGUGCUGUGCCUCCUGUCUCUUCCUGGGAACCUGGGGAGCAGCCACGCUGCAUCCCAUCUGGAGGGUGUCUGAUGGCAUCAAUGGGAAUAAAGUUCAUGCAGGCAAGUAAA